AAGGAACAACACCCACAACUUGCUGACGCAGUGGUGCAAUACCUAUAUUCUCCACAAGGAGGUGCCACCAGACCUUCCUUGGAUCUUUUAAGUCUAAUUGGAAAUGUGAACGGUCGAUAUAUUUGAUGACUUAGUUAAUUUUUGUUAUGACAGGUUUUUUUUCUCUAGGUAAUUGGAACACAAUCUCAUUUGCAACGCCAACCUGGCAGCAGACGGCAGGCACAAACAAAGAAUACCGAAUGAACAUGUUAAUCUCCACCCAUCUUUACAUUCUCCUAUGAUCAUGAUCACUGCUCAGAAGUUCAUGCGUGCACACCAAAGUGAAAACAAAAGCGCCGACGGACGACCUGAAUUUUUGUUAUCGUUCCCACGAUCGUCCGGAGAUUAACGCCGCCGGCCCUGCCGGUCACCAGCCACCAAAUCUUCAGCGCUUAACAUGCCAAUGUGGAGGGGUGGCAGCAAAAGCGCAAGUUACUGCGGGUUCACUGGCAGGUUAGUGGCAGCUUGGAGGCCAGGAAGGUGACAGUUAGGUAGCGAAGUGGUUUGUGUGAGUUCACUUUUGGCAGAUUAAUGGCAGGUGAGGUGGUUUUCGUGCUUUUGGCAAGUAAAAGGCCAGUUCAUGAUGGCUUUGGUGUCAGAUAAGCGGCGGUGGGUGAAAUGGUGGCAGUCGACAAAACCGAGGGGGCACCGGGGCAAGUGAUGCAAAGGUGGCGUGCAGGUGACACACUCGUAUUGUUGGGCUUUUGCUGCAGGACACCUCAUCGGCAAUUCUGCUAGCUACUUGCCAGGACAACGGUAAUACAAAGUACAUACAGGCACGCACACAAACACACACCCAUAUUAGCUUCAGUGUUACCUGGUCCGAGCUGGGCGUUUCCGAAAUGUCAUUCAUGCUGCGACUCUGCGCAUGAUCUGUAAAUGCAACACAAACACAGAAUGUUCAUUUGAGGACCAACAAAGAAAGCACUGACACGUGCACACGCAAGAUUACAUUCUUGAUGAUUUAGAACCUCAGGCAAAUUCCCCCCGUAAUCCUUUUCACGCAUUGUCCAGAAGAAACACACAAAAAUUGAUCAAACACAAAAAAGAAAAAGACAUUUACAAAGUAAUAAAUGUUAUAAUUUUUUCUCUCAUUUUUUUUAAGCAUUCCCUUUUUUUUUUGUAAGAAUUGUAUUGAUCCAUCAAUUCCUUUUUUGGGAGCUAGAAUCAACUCAAUGAGUAACUGUUCUUCAAGCAUGUGAGACCCCCUGGCUGAAGAGUCCUCAAGUCGCAAGGUUUAGUUUUGCGUAACGGACAAAACUAGAACUAAUGUGAUGUCACAAAUGAACAGCAAGUGAUUCAAUAUCACCUCAAAUAUCCCCUUGAUGCUGUUUAAGUGAGACGAAAUUACAACCAAAGAGGAUCCUUUCAAAGCCUCUCUCCCCGCUCACAAAUGCACAUAUUCUGUGUGUGUGAGUGUGGUUUGUUGCUAUACGAAUUAUUUUUGCUUUAUGUCCAGCACUUUGUACACAGAAGUGGUUGUUUUAAAGUGCUCUAUGAAAACAGCUGAGCUGAUAUAUCGUUUCAAUGCAAUUGAGUGUCCUAAUUUGAAUAUAUGAAUAUGUCAAUUUGCCUUUUUUUUUCGCCCCAGGAGGUCCAUUUAGCCAGAGUUGGUCACAGGUAUCAAAUACACGGGGAAAAAAAUGUAUGCUGCAUUUUCAGGCGUCCCAGGCUGCUGGCAUGUCUCAGCAGGUCGUCGGUUGAGCGACGGAUGGCGGAGGCGGAGCUUGUGCUACGACUCAGGUUGGCCUGAGGACUACGGUCUAAGCGAGCAAGGGGUGGAGUUGGGGUGAAGAGGCGGAGCAAGCAGGCGGCACCAUGGAAUGCGCUGCGCUCGCUUACUGGCGGCGGCGGCGGACGACGACGACGACUUUCCGAUGUCGGCCAGCGAACGAUGGAUGGGCUUCUUGGUCUGGUGACGAUGUUUCCGCAGCAGGACAAAGACAAUCCUGUCCUUCACAUCCUCCGAGAUCAGACCGUCAGCGAUCUGACGCUCCACCAUCUCGUCUGCGGAGACACGGUGACGUUAUCACGUCACGCGUGAGUUUUAUUUUCACCUGACAUUGUCAUUUUCUCGUGUAGAAUUUUGAGGGACGCAAUAAAGUCAUUCCAUUUCGAAAUGAGACUGGAUUACGGACCGUGAUGACAAAAGCUUUGCAUCUCACCGACAAUCUGAGGGAGCGAGAAGGCCUCCAGGUCUAGAAGGAUGCUACCGGUCUGCAGACACGUGCGCAGCUCGAAGAGGCUGUGCAGCGUCAGCGUGGACACGUGAGGACGCCGCCGCCCGUAGCUCACCUGGCCGACUCUUUCCACUCCAGUUCUCCGCCCUCCUGCUGCAGCGUGUCCAUCUCUGUGAAGAUGGUGGGCGUGGGCCCGCCAUCGUCCUCCCCCAGGAUGUG